GCCUCGGUAGUGUGGUGAUAAAGCACGCGUCCUCGGAUAGGAUGAAACGCGGGUUCGAUUUUCGCUUGAGGCC